rnacentral:rRNA from 1 species
GACGAACGCUGGCGGCGUGCCUAAUACAUGCAAGUUGAGCGAUGAAGAUUGGUGCUUGCACCAAUUUGAAGAGCAGCGAACGGGUGAGUAACGCGUGGGGAAUCUGCCUUUGAGCGGGGGACAACAUUUGGAAACGAAUGCUAAUACCGCAUAACAACUUUAAACAUAAGUUUUAAGUUUGAAAGAUGCAAUUGCAUCACUCAAAGAUGAUCCCGCGUUGUAUUAGCUAGUUGGUGAGGUGAAGGCUCACCAAGGCGAUGAUACAUAGCCGACCUGAGAGGGUGAUCGGCCACAUUGGGACUGAGACACGGCCCAAACUCCUACGGGAGGCAGCAGUAGGGAAUCUUCGGCAAUGGACGAAAGUCUGACCGAGCAACGCCGCGUGAGUGAAGAAGGUUUUCGGAUCGUAAAACUCUGUUGGUAGAGAAGAACGUUGGUGAGAGUGGAAAGCUCAUCAAGUGACGGUAACUACCCAGAAAGGGACGGCUAACUACGUG